rnacentral:rRNA from 1 species
CAAUGGCACUGCCCGGUAGCUACGUUCGGAACUGAUAAGCGCUGAAAGCAUCUAAGCGCGAAGCAGGCCUCGAGAUGAGUUCUCACUAGACUUUUAAAGUCUCUGAAGGGCCGUUGAAGACUACAACGUUGAUAGGCAGGAUGUGGAAGUGGUGUGAGCCAUUAAGCUAACCUGUACUAAUUACCCGUGAGGCUUAACCAUACAACGCCAAACGCGUUU